UAAAAUAUUCAACAUAUGCCACAUUCUGUGCCAUUAAACACACCUUAACAAAUUUUAAAGAAUAGAAAUCACACAGGUACGCUCUCAGGCCACAGUGGAAUUAAAUAAGAAACAUUAACAG